UGAAGGUUUGGUGGUAGGAUUUGAUGGUUGUAUUACAUGGAUAGACGCGCUGUUGUGGCUUUCCUUAGCAUGGCAGUUACCCAUCAGGAUAGUGUUUGGUUUACAACUGGGAUUCUGUCUUUUAGAAGCAAUGAACACUGAAUGGAACCUGGUUUAGUGCACAGCAAUACAGAAAAGCAUCACUAAUUAUGUUAAGAAAAAUUAUCAUGAAAGAGAGCAAUAUGGAUCUUUGAAACUGAGGUAUAUAUGUACUAAUGCUUCAUUUCUUUCUAUGCUAAAAUAGCCUCGGAUACAAUCUUAUACACCGUAGCUGUGAAACUGCUGAACACCAUUAGGCUGUAAGGAGCACGAGUGUGAUCUAUUCAUCAAAGCACAGGACAGAGAAAGGAGAAAUCCAUGUUGCAGAUCAGUAUUCGUGAUAUCUAAAUCAUUGUAUCUGAUCAACUCAAUUGUUGUAUACAAUCAUGUCUCAGCCACACCUCCUGUUUUUUUCUUUCUAAAACUAAGGAGUAAGAACAAAAAUCAUUAACUUAUUGGAUCAGAACUGUUUCUGGUCUUUAGAGAUCAGAGAUCAUGCUUCAGAGAAAGCUGAAAGAACACUAAAAC
rnacentral:lncRNA from 1 species